rnacentral:rRNA from 1 species
AUACGGAGGAUGCGAGCGUUAUCCGGAUUUAUUGGGUUUAAAGGGUGCGUAGGCUGUGCGUUAAGUCAGGGGUGAAAUGCCGUCGCUCAACGACGGAGCUGCCCUUGAUACUGGCGUGCUGGAGUACGGAUGCCGUUGGAGGAAUGAGUGGUGUAGCGGUGAAAUGCUUAGAUAUCACUCAGAACACCGAUUGCGAAGGCAUCUCACAAAUCCGCGAUUGACGCUGAGGCACGAAGGUGCGGGGAUCGAACAGGAUUAGAUACCCCGGUAGUCCGCACAGUAAACGAUGAUAACUCGCUGUCGGCGAUAGACAGUCGGUGGCCAAGCGAAAGCGAUAAGUUAUCCACCUGGGGAGUACGACCGCAAGGUUGAAACUCAAAGGAAUUGACGGGG